rnacentral:snRNA from 2 species
GUCCUUUGGGGACAUAUGAUAAAAUUGAAACGAUAUGGAGAAGAUUAACAUGGCCGACCCUAUUCAAGGAAUUUGUAGUAUAUAAAAUAUCUAAGUUGUC